rnacentral:tRNA from 1 species
AUGUAGCUUAAUGAUAGAGUACAUGCCUAAUAUGUAUAAGGCCCUGGGUUUAGUUCCCAGCAU